CCAACAAGCACCAGCAUCUAGCAGGUACCCUUAGAUAGUCCCAGUGGCUUAUCCUCAAUGUCAGUGACAAUGUCUCUUGCAUGAGAAAUGCACAGCAGAUUCUCCGCCAUAUCAAUGCCACUCUUCAUGAUGGAUCAACUCUUGUUCUAUCAGGAAAAACCACGUUGCUACGUAUGUUAGCUGGCUUCAACAGACCAACUGCUGGUCAGGUAACUCAGGUGUUUUCCAUCGGUACAAGCUUCAGCUAAACUGGCUCGCACUCAAAGAUGCUAUCAAGGAUAAAUUCACAAUCCUCGAUAAUGUGUUAUGGUUCCAACUUCUCCAAGGAAAUGAAGGCUCAACUGAAGAGGAUACCUAAGUGGGAACCACUCUAUAGCAAGAUCAAGACCAUCUUGUAUAUCAGGUGUGUUUAUGUUCAAAUGUAUUUUUUGAGUUACUAAGCUCUGAUAUUUAUGAAAGCAAAAUGUGAAUGUUCAUGCUUCAAUGUUUUACUCUCUAUUGGGUAUGUGCUAUUAACUGGCAUGAAGUUGGCUUUACCAAUUAACAAGGAGUUAACGAUCGUGCUCUGAGCUAGUACUAGCCAGAGUGUAGUGUGCACGGAAGUUAGAAUUGGGUAGAACUUGGCCAGGUUCCUCAGUUCUGAAAAAGGGAAUCGUAUGUGGAAGAAAAUUUCUCGACGAUCAUACAGUUAUAAGUUGUACCAAUAGUAGAGGCAGUUAAAGAAAGUAAAGUUUUGUAUGCUUAUGAUGUAUGAUUUAUGUUUAAAAGCUUCAUAUGCAUACUGUUAAGCAUGAAACAUUUUAUUAUAUGGUUCUUUUCAAAUGUUUUAUAAACGGCAAUAGCACACUGAGUACAAUAGUGCUUAGCCAAAUCUUUUUAAAAUGUUUGCAUGUUGAGCGGCGAAUGUGGAGUGUGGUGCUGAGAUGAAGAUUCUUUUUUCUAUUGUAUAUAACUAAUUCCUUUAAUGGAACAACUCUUUUGUAUAUCUCCACCCGCUUCCUAUUUUGUAUACCAUGACGACUCUUGUACAGUUUACUAAUGUAAAUUGAUCUUAUCUUACGCUUUGGGU